rnacentral:rRNA from 1 species
UAGGGAAUCUUCCGCAAUGGGCGAAAGCCUGACGGAGCAACGCCGCGUGAGUGAUGAAGGUCUUCGGAUCGUAAAACUCUGUUAUUAGGGAAGAACAAAUGUGUAAGUAACUAUGCACGUCUUGACGGUACCUAAUCAGAAAGCCACGGCUAACUACGUGCCAGCAGCCGCGGUAAUACGUAGGUGGCACGCGUUAUCCGGAUUUAUUGGGCGUAAAGCGCGCGUAGGCGGUUUUUUAAGUCUGAUGUGAAAGCCCACGGCUCAACCGUGGAGGGUCAUUGGAAACUGGAAAACUUGAGUGCAGAAGAGAAAAGGGGAAUUCCAUGUGUAGCGGUGAAAUGCGCAGAGAUAUGGAGGAACACAAGUGGCGAAGGCGACUUUCUGGUCUGUAACUGACGCUGAUGUGCGAAAGCGUGGGGAUCAAAAAGG